CCCCUAGAUGCUCUGGGCCGCACGCGCGCUACACUGAACAGUUCAACAAGUCUUAACCUUGGCCGAUAGGUCUGGGUAAUCUUUGAACGCUGUUCGUGAUUGGGAUAGACCUUUGCAAUUAUGGGUCUUCAACGAGGAAUUCCUAGUAAACGCAAGUCAUCAGCUUGCAUUGAUUACGUCCCUGCCCUUUGUACACACCGCCCGUCGCACCUACCGAUUGAAUGGUCCGGUGAAAUCUCGGGACGGCGGCUUGGUCGCUUGCGUCCGACUGCUGAAACUUGAUUAAACCAUAUCAUUUAGAGGAAGGUGAAGUCGUAACA
rnacentral:rRNA from 1 species